GUAGGUGGCAAGCGUUGUCCGGAAUUAUUGGGCGUAAAGCGCGCGCAGGCGGUUCUUUAAGUCUGAUCGUGAAAGCCCACGGCUCAACCGUGGAGGGUCAUUGGAAACUGGAGAACUUGAGUACAGAAGAGGAAAGCGGAAUUCCACGUGUAGCGGUGAAAUGCGUAGAGAUGUGGAGGAACACCAGUGGCGAAGGCGGCUUUCUGGUCUGUAACUGACGCUGAGGCGCGAAAGCGUGGGGAGCAAACAGGAUUAGAUACCCUGGUAGUCCACGCCGUAAACGAUGAGUGCUAAGUGUUAGGGGGGUUUUCCGCCCCCCUUAGUGCUGCAGCUAACGCAUUAAGCACUCCGCCUGGGAGUACGGCCGCAAGGCUG
rnacentral:rRNA from 1 species